rnacentral:rRNA from 1 species
CGGCGACCGGCGCACGGGUGAGUAACGCGUAUCCAACCUGCCCAUAACUAAGGGAUAACCCAGCGAAAGUUGGACUAAUACCUUAUGUAUUGUUUGAUUCAUGAGAUUACGAAUAAAGAUUUAUCGGUUAUGGAUGGGGAUGCGUCUGAUUAGCUUGUUGGCGGGGUAACGGCUCACCAAGGCAACGAUCAGUAGGGGUUCUGAGAGGAAGGUCCCCCACAUUGGAACUGAGACACGGUCCAAACUCCUACGGGAGGCAGCAGCA